UCGGUCUUUUCCGCUUCACUCCACUUUUUGAGGCGGCAAGGGCUGCAUAAAAAGGAGGAAACCCGCCCCGCCUCGAAUUGGGGCGCCCCUCGGCUUGGGGUGCGGCACUGUGGAGACGUGCCGCAAUGCGUGUCCGACAUAAGCGCGGAACGCGAGACGGUUCGUUGGAGAAGUCCGGGAUCGUUAAAGUCAAACGCAGUAUGGCA
rnacentral:ncRNA from 1 species